rnacentral:rRNA from 1 species
AGCUCCAAUAGCGUAUAUUAAAGUUGCUGCAGUUAAAAAGCUCGUAGUUGCAUUUCCGAGGCAAGGGAUUAGUCCGACCUUUGGUGGGUAUUUAAUCCUCUUGCCUCGUCCUUGAGUGGUGCUUCUUGGUAUUAAGUUAUCGAGGAGAUAGCCGCUCAUCGUUUACUGUGAGAAAAUUAGAGUGUUCAAAGCAGGCUUAUGCCGUUGAAUAUAUUAGCAUGGAAUAAUAAGAUAGGACCUCGGUACUAUUUUGGUGGUUUGAGAACCAAGGUAAUGAUUAAUAGGGACAGUUGGGGGUAUUCGUAUUCAGUUGUCAGAGGUGAAAUUCUUAGAUUUACGGAAGACGAACUACUGCGAAAGCAUUUACCAAGGAUGUUUUCA